rnacentral:rRNA from 1 species
UAGCUACAGGCUUAACACAUGCAAGUCGAGGGGCAGCAUGGUCUUAGCUUGCUAAGGCCGAUGGCGACCGGCGCACGGGUGAGUAACACGUAUCCAACCUGCCGUCUACUCUUGGACAGCCUUCUGAAAGGAAGAUUAAUACAAGAUGGCAUCAUGAGUCCGCAUGUUCACAUGAUUAAAGGUAUUCCGGUAGACGAUGGGGAUGCGUUCCAUUAGAUAGUAGGCGGGGUAACGGCCCACCUAGUCUUCGAUGGAUAGGGGUUCUGAGAGGAAGGUCCCCCACAUUGGAACUGAGACACGGUCCAAACUCCUACGGGAGGCAGCAGUGAGGAAUAUUGGUCAAUGGGCGAGAGCCUGAACCAGCCAAGUAGCGUGAAGGAUGACUGCCCUAUGGGUUGUAAACUUCUUUUAUAAAGGAAUAAAGUCGGGUAUGGAUACCCGUUUGCAUGUACUUUAUGAAUAAGGAUCGGCUAACUCCGUGCCAGCAGCCGCGGUAAUACGGAGGAUCCGAGCGUUAUCCGGAUUUAUUGGGUUUAAAGGGAGCGUAGAUGGAUGUUUAAGUCAGUUGUGAAAGUUUGCGGCUCAACCGUAAAAUUGCAGUUGAUACUGGAUAUCUUGAGUGCAGUUGAGGCAGGCGGAAUUCGUGGUGUAGCGGUGAAAUGCUUAGAUAUCACGAGGAACUCCGAUUGCGAAGGCAGCCUGCUAAGCUGCAACUGACAUUGAGGCUCGAAAGUGUGGGUAUCAAACAGGAUUAGAUACCCUGGUAGUCCACACGGUAAACGAUGAAUACUCGCUGUUUGCGAUAUACAGCAAGCGGCCAAGCGAAAGCGUUAAGUAUUCCACCUGGGGAGUACGCCGGCAACGGUGAAACUCAAAGGAAUUGACGGGGGCCCGCACAAGCGGAGGAACAUGUGGUUUAAUUCGAUGAUACGCGAGGAACCUUACCCGGGCUUAAAUUGCAGAUGAAUUACGGUGAAAGCCGUAAGCCGCAAGGCAUCUGUGAAGGUGCUGCAUGGUUGUCGUCAGCUCGUGCCGUGAGGUGUCGGCUUAAGUGCCAUAACGAGCGCGACCCUUGUUGUCAGUUACUAACAGGUUCCGCUGAGGACUCUGACAAGACUGCCAUCGUAAGAUGUGAGGAAGGUGGGGAUGACGUCAAAUCAGCACGGCCCUUACGUCCGGGGCUACACACGUGUUACAAUGGGGGGUACAGAGGGCCGCUACCACGCGAGUGGAUGCCAAUCCCAAAAACCUCUCUCAGUUCGGACUGGAGUCUGCAACCCGACUCCACGAAGCUGGAUUCGCUAGUAAUCGCGCAUCAGCCACGGCGCGGUGAAUACGUUCCCGGGCCUUGUACACACCGCCCGUCAAGCCAUGGGAGCCGGGGGUACCUGAAGUGCGUAACCGCGAGGAGCGCCCUAGGGUAAAACUGGUGACUGGG